rnacentral:lncRNA from 1 species
CUGUUCUCCAUCCACUUCACCUUAUUUUCGUAGCUGUAGGUUUUACCGACUCUCCAGACAGGUGAUGCGAGUCAAUAGCGCACCGUUGAACGCGUGGGAGAGACUCAGCCUAUCUCAUUACAGCCGCGAACUUCAUCUGGUACAAGAGUCAUGUCUUGUGUGAGACUGCAGUUAUUUCAACUUCUUGAGGAGCAGGCAUGGAUACAGCGCGGGCAGCCAGGGCGCAUAUUAUCUGGACAUUGAUAGCUUUGGUCUUUAUUUUAAUCGCGUCGUGCUUGACGUAUGUCUUCAUGUCGAAGGUGUCUGGAUGCCAAAGAAUUAGAAUCGUGAAUGCUCGUGGCUACAAUCAGACAGGUGAUUGCUUGAUCUGGGAGGAUGAGUGGCACGGAUACAGGGAUAAGAAUGAGAGUAUUCUGGACCACACCAACAUGUCGAUGAUCAUUCGAGAGAAAGGUGUCUACCUGGUCUACAUACAAGUUAACUUCCAACUGAACCCACAGAAGAACAGCAGCUCUACUGUAGAACUCAAAAUUUUAGUGUAUUUCAGUUCUGAUGGGGAGAAGCAGCUAUUUGCAGCCGCACACGACACUCAGGUGGUGAUUGACUCACCUCAGGACGCCAAGCUCAACACUUUCCUUCUGAUGAAAAUGCAGCCAACAAGCCAGUUAUCUGUGAGAGUAUUUCCGAGUGAAUUUGUGAACUGCACACCACAACCCUUUUCCAGUUUUAUCACUAUCAUAAAAUGGGCAGACGACUGGUAGAUUGUUGCAUAUAUUGCAGAAGUUAUUGGCUUUCCAGGUGAAAACCAUAUCCAUGUCCAGUUUUUACAAUGGCGGUUGUUCUUAUAUUCUUGUUAGCUUUAAAUGUGACAUUUUAGGAAGAAUGCGGUCUCAAGAUCAGCUGCUAGAACACCUGAGAUUUUCCAGCUGUUUGUUGUACUAGGAAAUGCUCGCUGACAUUAACAAGGAUUGCGUGGGGGGUUGUGAUACUUUCUUGGUGUUUUUCUUCUUCCUUUCGAAAUAUGAAGAUCACAUCUCAUGAUCUUCUCAGAAGCAUGACACAUUUUCCUCUCAACAGAUAUAUGUUAGGUUUGUUUUGUCUCAGUUUUUUUAUGAGUCAAGACGAAAAAAAGGGCACGAUAUACUGUUAAUGAGCACUGACUUUGAAGAUUCUCAUGUAUUACGUACAUAAAAGAUGUCAUAAGUGCCUGCAAACGAACAUUGUUUUACUAAACAAUAGUAAGCUAAUUCUGAGCAAGUGGGUAUUUCUUCAGUGAAAUGCAUCUUCCUGUAUAUAUAAUCAUACAGUUUUUUUUAAUCAUCGACAGCUGAAUGUAAAAACCUCGUAACCUAUCUUUGUCUAGCAUCAGUGUUUGAUAUAAAUGUUCAUUGUAUCAAAAGCUAUGGAGCAAUAUUUUAUUGUGUAAAUAUGUGCUUCUUUGCAAGACAAGAAACCAGCAUUUUUUUCAAAGUUCUUGAAAUGUGGAGCUAGUUUUUAGCUGUAAGCAGAUUCAUCCAGCCACAGAAGCAUUUAUUUGUUCAUGCAGGGAUGUCAUGGAAUUUUUUUUUUUUCUUAUGGGGGUGACUAGGGGUGGUAGUGGUGGGGUUUUUUUCCACAUUAAAAAAAACCCACUAGUUACACUAAUCCAAUCAGUCAAACAAGCCAUAUGAAUCUGAACAACAUCAGCUGUUUUAAUAAGACAGCGGAGUGUUUUUCUUUUCCAGCGAGUGGGAAAGUUUCUUUUUCAAACCCAGUAUUUUUUCAGUCAGGAAAAUACCAUUUAUGAUGAUGCAUACUUUUUUGUAUUCGGAUGAAUCAAACCUGCUGGCUAAGUCUUAAGAAUAUUUUGAAAUAAGAGACUAAACGUAAUGAUUUUUUUUUUUUUAAUGAAAGUUUUGUUCUUUCACAGCUAAGCCCU